GGCAGCGAGACUCCCGCCGCCGCCGCCGCCGCCGCCACCAGCAAGUCCAAUAUGGGCAGAUCGGCAAUAGCGAUGGAGAGGAUGGUAAUCCCGGCGGCCGCCCUUCGGACGGGUGGUUAAGAAGAAAUGAAUUGCAAAGGAUGACAGAGAAAGUCUUUGAGAGGCCACUUAACGAGAGAGAGGGGGCGAUGUCACUAGACAAAGGAAGUCUACUGGAGGAAUCGGAUAAAGUCAUUCCUCCCCACAUAUACACUGAGGACUCCUUCUGAAGACUCCCCAUACUAG